ACAAAAUAUCGUAUGUGCCUUUACUUACCACAACUGCCUACCAUGAAUGGGCUCACGCAAUUCAAUGUCUCUGUUUAACAUUAUGUUACGAAAUGACAUCAUACAAAUGCAGAAGGGAAAAAUGGAAUUUCUCCGAUUUGACUGUUACGCACUUUAAUUUUUUUGUUUGGCACAAACACUUGCAUGCCCACCAAAAAAUGCAGAAGCUAUCAAUCACGGCUAUAAGGAUAAAAACAACUGAUAGGGCCUCAUGUUUCCGUUUAAGAGCUACAAUUUAUGUAAUAAUUUCUGUAUCACAUCGAAUGUUUCCGUCUUUUUUGAAUUUUAAUAGCUCAAUAUUAACUUUUUUUUUUUUCACAAUUUAUUCUAUAUAUCAAGAGAUGUUCGAAUUUUGUCGCCGAUUUUUUGCAACGUUUGGAGUUGAAAUGAAUGAAUUGUUCAGAUAGUUUCCUUUGCCCAAAUUUUCAAUACCCCUUUAAGGGCGAAUUAUAAUAAAAAAAAUUAUGAAGAUACAUUACUCUACGCUUUGAUAUCCUUGAAGUAAAUUUUAGAACGACAAAAAAGCAUCAUUCAAGUACUGUCAAAGCGGUAGUGUUUAAGCGUGAGCAAAUUGUGCUGUAUUUUACAUGAAAAUGAUUGUUGUUUCUUCUAGCUGUUUACUAAAAAAACACUCGCCUAUAUUUUAAUUAUUGGUAAAAAUGUAAAUGUGAAUGUUUGCCGGCAGUUCUUAACACAGAAAUUUUAUAUGAAUUUAUCAUUGGUCAGACAC